UAGGGAAUAUUGCAAAAUGGGCGAAAGCCCGAUGCAGCAACGCCGCGUGGGCGAUGAAGGCCUUCGGGUCGUAAAGCCCUUUUUGAGGGGAUGAGGAAGGACAGUACCCUCAGAAUAAGCCUCGGCUAACUACGUGCCAGCAGCCGCGGUAAAACGUAGGAGGCGAGCGUUAUCCGGAUUUACUGGGCGUAAAGCGCGUGCAGGCGGAUUGGAGAGUUGGAUGUGAAAGCUCCCGGCUUAACUGGGAGAGGUCGUUCAAUACUUCCAGUCUUGAAUGCAGUAGAGGGAAGUGGAAUUCCGGGUGUAGUGGUGAAAUGCGUAGAUAUCCGGAGGAACACCAGUGGCGAAAGCGGCUUCCUGGACUGUAACUGACGCUCAGACGCGAAAGCUAGGGUAGCAAACG
rnacentral:rRNA from 1 species